rnacentral:lncRNA from 1 species
CACGUCACCGAAUGAAAGGGGUACGGUAGUAAGUGUAAACAGUAGAAGCCUUUUUUCCUUGCAUUUUUUCCACAUUUAUUAUGGUUUUACACCCAAUAUAGUUGCAAUACCAUUACAUACCCGCACAAUACACCUGCUGCUGCUGCUAAACACAUGGGACGAACACACAGUAGAGACUAUAAAUUAAACGGCCGGGACGGCAGAAGACAGAGGCCGGGAGCACAGAGCUCUGCGUUAUUCUCUCCUCGAUCGUCUAGCGGGGACGGAUGGAUGGCAGCACACAAAGAGGGUAGUAGUAGGACUAGGGCGUAGGACUCGCCUCUCAUCAUCAUCAUCAGCAGGUCACCUUUGCCGGCUGGCUAGGACACAAUUCUUCCAUCGAUCGAGACCACCUGUCCCAACACAAAAGAAAAGGAGAGCCUAUGGUUAGUGCCAGACUAUGCCAGGAGAUCAGUAUGAUACUGACGAUACAUUUGACACAAGCAUACUAAAUGUAUGUAGUGUGCAUGCAUAUUGCAUGCUCCAUUCUUGUACCGUUGUACGUAGUAUUAGUACGUACCUAAAUGCUCCAGAGACUGACAGCAGUGUGGUAUGGUAGGCAUCGGUUUCUAGUAGUAAGGUGGCGGCGGGCUGGGGGUGUGAGACACCGGCGGCGUCGGAGUGUAGGUGGGCGGCUUGGUGGCCGGCGGCUUCGGUGUGGGAGUGUACGUCGGUGGGGUCGGCUUGGGCGUGGGAGGCUUGGUAGCCGGUGGCUUGGGGCUUGGAGUGUACGUCGGUGGGGUCGGCUUGGGUGUCGGAGGCUUGGGGGAAGGCGUGUACGUCGGCGGGGUCGGCUUAGGUGUCGGAGGCUUUGGGGAAGGGGUGUACGUCGGUGGGGUCGGCUUGGGCGUCGGGUGUGUGGGAGGCUUGGGGCUUGGAGUGUACGUCGGCGGGGUCGGCUUGGGCGUCGGAGGCUUGGGGGAAGGGGUGUACGUCGGCGGGGUCGGCUUGGGUGUCGGAGGCUUGGGAGAAGGGGUGUACGUCGGCGGGGUCGGCUUGGGCGUGGGAGGCUUGGUAGCCGGUGGCUUGGGGCUUGGAGUGUACGUAGGCGGGGUCGGCUUAGGUGUCGGAGGUUUGGGGGAAGGGGUGUACGUCGGUGGGGUCGGCUUGGGCGUCGGAGGCUUGGUAGCCGGUGGCUUGGGGCUUGGAGUGUACGUAGGCGGGGUCGGCUUAGGUGUCGGAGGCUUGGGAGAAGGGGUGUACGUCGGCGGGGUCGGCUUGGGCGUGGGAGGCUUGCUAGCCGGUGGCUUGGGGCUUGGAGUGUACGUCGGCGGGGUCGGCUUAGGUGUCGGAGGUUUGGGGGAAGGGGUGUACGUCGGAGGAGUGGGAGUGGGUUUGUGGGGCGUAGGGGCGGGAGUGUAUGUGGGUGGCGUCGGCUUGGGGGGCGUCGGGGUGGGAGUGUACGUCGGCGGCGUGGGUUUGGGGCUCGGGGUGUACGUGGGCGGCGUCGGCUUGUGCUCCUUGGGCGGCUUCUCCGGCUUGGGCCCGUGCUCCUUGGGCGGCUUGUGCUCCUUUGGCGGCUUCUCCGGCUUGGGCCCCUUGGUGGGGGGCUUCUCCGGCUUCGGGGUCGGGGUGGCCGGCGUCGGCGUCGGGGUGUACCCGUACCCGGCGUCGGCCUGGAUCUCCACGGCCAGGCUCACGGCCACCAGGGCCAGCAGCAGAGCAGCCCUGCCGCUGCCACCCAUCAUCCUCUCUCUCUCACACACUCUCAGUAACUGCAAGCUCUUCUGGUUGGCUCUAGCUGGCCAAUGGCGCAGUGGUGGUCUGAGGAGAGACGCUCACCCUGCCACUGCUUAUAUACACGGAGGAAGGGGUGGGGUGGGGGCCUCGGAUGCCCUCUGGGCUCUCGUGACGCCCUUCGACGGAGAGGAGGAGGAGAGAGAGAGGGCACUGCGGCGAGAGAGAGGCAUUCAGGCAAGCCAUGUGGGGGCAGCACGGGAGGCUUCCCCGAUGGUCACUCGCUUCGCUUGCAUUGGGGUUCACCGGCACCGCUCACUGGUCCAGCACGGGCCAGUCUGAACCUGCAUGUUGACGAAUGGAAUGGAUAGAGCCGGGCGGGCACUUGGUGGAGCAGGUGGAUUUACAUCGUUUGCAUCUACAAGUAGUUCCCACAAUACUCACGUUAUUGUGUGCAUUCACUCCGCCUUGCACUGAAGUAGCAGAGAGUGAGACCUGUACACAAGAAGAGCCGCCAUGUGCUGCUCGCCGAGAUCAAACGACGUGGAUCGAUCAAGCUGAACGGCAGAUCAGAUAACGAUCCGCUGGGAAAGAUAAUACUACUACCUUCGCCUAUGAAUAAAUUAGAUUUAUAGAGUUAUUAUGGCAUGUACAACAUCAUUUAAUAUGAACUCUCUCGAGAGAUCUACCUUCUCGGCUAGAUUCGUCGUCUCUUUGACCGGAUCGCCGUCUGGAUCCGUCAAUGUCGAGGCCUUUCUGGUCGGAUCCAUCGUUACCCCUUCUAUUACGCCACAGGCGCGGCUAACAUUACUGGUGCAGACGUGUGCGCUGCCGCCGGCCUCUGAAUAAAUUAGAUUUAUAAAGUUAUCGAUCAAGCUGAACGGCAGAUCAGAUAACUAUCCGUUGGGAAAGAUAAUACUACUACCUUGCCUCUGAAUAAAUUAGAUUUAUAAAGUUAUUAGGGCAUGUACAACCUCAUUUAAUAUAGAGUCUACCUUCCCAGCUAGAUCCGUCGUCUAUUUAACCGGAUCGCCGUCUUGCCGGUUGGAUCCGUCGAUGUCGUGGCCUUCCUGGCCGGAUCCAUCAUUACCCCUUCUAUUCCAUCGCGAGCGCGGCCACCAUAACGGUGCAGACGCGUGCGCUGCCGCGGGGCUCCUCGACGUCCAGACGAUCGAAGAAGCAAGAAGGUCACCCUGGUGCUAAUUUUUAUGUCGCCCAGCCGAUCGUUGACGCUUGAACAUCGACCCCUACCAAAGAAUAGGCUACUGCUGCGUGUCUCCCGACCACGACCACCUCGACUUCGGCUAUCUCGGCAUCCAGGGGCUAUCAUUUCCUCGAAGUCCACACAUCGGCAACAUUCACACCCUCAUCACGCUACGAUUGCAGGGGUAUCAACUCGUCGGCUUCUACCUUCGGCUUCUACUACAGUCUCAUCGUGUGUGGUGCCCCCGUUGCGACUGCUGAAGGAUGUUAGACUGUAUGUGGAGGGGCGGGCACCACUGUUGGGCUACCGACCCAUUAGGAUUAGGGCUAUGCAAUAUAAUAAAUCAAUCGCUUCACAGUCCAACAUUAUCCUGUUAACUUUGAGAUUCAGAUUUAUUUUUUUAACGGUGGAAUUGUUCCAAAGUUGCCUUUUUUUCAAAUGUUUUUUUCUUUUUUUUCAUUAUGAUGGCAUGCAUAAGGGGAAAGUGGAACAAUGUGUUCGACCUGAGAUACAAGCAGUGAAUUAAUGAAUCGAGAGAUCUGGUUGGAUCUGAACAAGACACUUGCCUUUAGGAAUAGUAGUAGAUCACCAGAGCGCUUAAGAACGAGGGCCCAGCUAAUUAGAUGCAUUGCUACGCUUGUGUGCAUUUCGGCUCUUGAUUUUUUACCUUUACCCAGAGCAUUUCACCGUGUUCUGCAACAUGAGAAAAGCUGCAGAAAUUUUGGGGGUACUGCAGCACUGACACCCACCCACUCAUUCUGCAAGGAGCUGAUGUAAAAAGGGCUUAAGGCCAGGGACGAACGAACACAAGUAUACGCGGUUGCGCAGAAAGGAAAUGGGGGAGGACGUUGCCCCCCACAAGGCCACAAGUGGCUGACGACGAGGGGCAUGUGCGUUCAUCUGAGCAAAGGCAUUUUUGGGUCGUCGCUGAAAACUGAAAAAGGCUGGGACGCUUGUCUUCUUUCUUCCCUCCUCCGGUCCAUCCGUCCGCCCGCCCGCUGAACCGAACGUCCAAGCCAAACCGCAGGAAAACAGGCGAGACCGAUCACCAUUUCCGCGGAAAUCGAGAUCGAGAUGCUCCUCCUCUUCCUCCAGUCCUCCUGAUGUCCAGCUCGUCUUUAUUGGCGUGGCCACACUGGGCACGCGCAAACACCGCCCGGGAAAACGCCCGGCCGGCUGGCAGCCAGCGCUAGCUGGAAUUUGUUUGGCGGACACACACCGGCCAUCAGUAAGUACUUCCAGAACCAAAAUAUCCGCGGGUGAACUGCGUCGUCCUGUCGGUGGGAAUCGUCGUAUUAGCGAGCAUUCUUAUCAAGCCCUUGGUAUUAGUGCAGCAAAGGAGAAUAUUACCUUAUCAAGCCUCCACUGCAUUUUUGUUGGAUUUUGUGUAGUAAUUGGAUCCUUAUUAUCCCUAGCAAACCAAACACGACCUUAAUUUACUUCUCUUGCACCUCCGAUCCACCACACACAUAAAAAUUGUUGGAAAAAUUAACAGCGCCUAAGAUUUAUUUGAUAAUGCAGCAUAAAACGUAAAACCAAGAUAUACUUGCAGAUAAUAUCCAUGACAUUAGAAUAGAACAGAUCUAAACUAAUUCAACAAGAUUAACACAUAAAUAAAAGAAUCUAUAACGGAUCUAACCAUAAGACUGUCAUUGCAAUAAACCAAAAAUACAAAUUUACUUACUGUGACUUCCAUGAGUGAUGGUGACGAUCCUGAGCGGACUUGCGCAAAGCACUUCCCAGAAACCUGAUUCGUCGGCACCCGUGCAGGUCGUUAAAACGUCGGUGUUGGUUCGGAGACACCGCUCUCCCUUGAUCUGCGGCACGACAGACGAAGGGACGUCAGGGCAGAGAAGCGACGACGUAAAGAGAGGAGAAGAAGAGGACAAGUCGGUUGCUAUUCGCGUCUGUCCUCUGACUGAAUGACGUCUGCCUUUUAUAGAGUGGUUGUCACAACCUCCUUGAUUCGAUUUGCUAAAUCUAGAAACCGCCCCAUAGAAUCUCUCUACGUGCAACCGCCCGAAGAUAUCGCAUGCAUGUAACGUGCACGACUAUUACUCCUGGUCGACGUGGCAGCCUAGGUGUUGUAUUUGAUAACAAAAUAAACAAAAAGCAAAAAAUAAACUAUUGUUUAUAACAUGUCACGACGCGACCGCGCACAAGUCACAAGUCCCGCGAUAGCUAAUAGGAAUAAACACAAAACGCGAGCGAGCGAGCACGUGUGGCAACCUACAUAGCCCUUUAUUGGUCUCGUGUGAAGUGUAUGAAACACUUCCACAUAUAAGUUGGUUCUCUCCUAUCAAGAUGAGCAAUAUAGAACUAAAGGCUUAUGUCAUCUAUACACACCACCUUGUCUUCUUUAUUGAAUUGGGGGUCACACACUAGCGGACCUAAUUCCAACAAAAGUAUCCUACUUUGAAAAUUAUGUGAGGAUUUUCGUAGAAACAGCGAGUAGUUUAGAAACUCCUUUUGUACAAGGGUUUUCAUUUUCCUAAUGGAAAUUAGUUUAUUUUUACUUGGAAAAAUAGUGAUCUAGGGGAAAAUGAAGUUUUUCCAAACUAGCGUCCGAGUAAAAGUUUUUAAGCUCAGAAGUAGAUACGUACAUGCCACUUGCCAACCAGGCUAACUCACCUUAAGUAAGUUUCACCUAUAUAUACACCAUGCACCUAGCUAGCUUGCUACUAGCGCUCUUAAAUCAUGGUCCGCUGCGUCGCUGUUUACGUUGCAUUAGGCCGAGGGCACGUGCUAGCUAGGGUUCUGGAUCUGUAGCUACAAGCCUGCAAAAAUCUAGUUUAAGUGUAUGCACGAAUGAUUGUGCAGUAAAAAAAAAAUUAACCCACCUACUGGCAUAGUGGCAUCUGGCAUGGGCAUGUAAUAAAAUUCUCUCAUUCGGGCGCCAGAUGAGAUUCUCACGUACUUCCAGAAAAAGUUCGCGAGAGGCAACAUUAUUUCUCUCUACUUUAUUUAAACACCGUGGAUGAAAAAGGUAAGUAAGCUUGGUAAAAGCCGGAAAAGCAUGACGUAUUUUAAGUUUUUCGAGCAAAGUUAUUAUUAGGCGCCGCGCGCGCGUAGUCCCCCCCAGUCGUAGGUCUAGCACUAGCAGACUACUAGUAGCAUGCAUGGUCGUCUCGCUCAUGGAUCGAUGCGUAUAUGCAAUAGAUGGCCCAAUGCAUGCACGGUGGAUGAUCCAUCGAUGCUGCCUGCAUGCCCCCGCCAUGUGUAGUAGAGUGGUUCCGUGCAUUGGAACCAGAUGAUGACUGGCGAUAGGGUUAGGCGGGCGGGAGCGCCCCCUCAAGCAAAGCAUGAGCGCAGCGCCAUGCCAUGAUUCAGCCUGGUUUCUAGGAGCUAAGCUACGCAUACCAAUCAUGCAACAUAUAUAGAUUAAUGUCAAUACUAAAGUAUUGAAACAAAGACUUUUUUCGUGUCUCGGAACUCUGUAUAGAUCAUAUUAUUGUAUAUAUAUAUAUAUAUAUAUAUAUAUAUAUAUAUAUAUAUAUAUAUAUAUAUAUAUAUAUAUAUAUAUAUAUAUAUAUAUAUAUAUAUAUAUAUAUAUAUAUAUAUAUAUAUAUAUAUAUAUAUAGUCCCGCAAGCAGGCAUGGGGGAUGUCAGACGACUUUUGGUAUUGGCGAACCAGAUAGGUACGUAGUACCAAAUAAAAUUGGAGUGGCAUGUUCAUUAUACUACAGGAGUCAACACAGCACACGAUGCCACGGGGAUGAUGCAUGCGAUGCGCCCAUGACGACAGGGUGUCUGUAACUGUAACGUGCAAAAAAAAUGUAACCCGUACCAGAUGUAAAAGCGGGAGUUACUCUACGGCUCGAUUUGGUGACAAGGAGAUCACCGGAAAUUGAAGGGGAUUCAGGAAAAAUGAACUAAUUUCUCCCUUAGUCCCCUCUAAUUCUUCUGUGAUCUUUAAUCACUAAAUCAGGUCUAGUAGCAGUACUUUUACACCUGUCGACAUUUUCUCCUCCUGAUUCCUGAGCGACGACGCACCACGAAUCCCAGCAGGUACUGGGGAAAAAAAACGAAGGGGGAUUUUCAGUCGAGCCGUGCCAUGGCCGUUCGGUUCCUGUGUCAGGCUUUGUUGGACCUCAAAGGCCCAGAACGGACAAGUUUCUCGACGGACGGCUUUUGGUCCUGAAGCCCACACCAUUAGACGGACUGGCUGGCUGUAUUUGCUGGGCCAGCCCGGAGGACGAGUACGGCGAAUCGGUAUGCUGUUUGGAGUCGAGUCACGGACGAUUAUGGGAUUAGAGCCCAUGAGCUAGUACUCCCAAUUAGGUUUGCAAGCUGCACCUUGGAAAAAAUAUUACAUUAUACUACAUCCGUUCACAAAUAUAUCACACCGUCGAUUUUUUUGAAAACUUUGCCCAUUACUCUUACUAAGAAGUUAAGUAGGGCGUCCACACCUCAUCUGCCCCUGCCCUCGCCACCGACCCCGUCCUCUCCCACGCGCGCGCCUGUAACUAGUUUCCUAGCCCGCGUCGUGCCCCUACCCCACCGACGUUUAUGGAAGGUGCCAUUCCACGGUUCUUCGUGGCCGCCCCUAAGGAUGUAAAUGGUCGGUAAAAUCCGGUAAAUUUCCGGUACCGUUUACCAGAUUUUUCCAGCCGUUUUCGGAUUUAUCGGGAUAUACAGAAAACGAGACGGAAACGGAAUAGGUUUUUUUUCGAAAACGGUACGGUAAACGGUGAGACAAACUUACCGUCCGUUUUCGUAUUUCUCGGGAAACUCUGGUAUAUUCCCGUAUUUGUCCCGUAUUUUCCCGACCCACGGACCUGCCAAUCAACCAUCAGCCAGUCAGCCCAUCCCCACAGCUAUGGCCCAUGGGGCCAUGUUGGCCACAUGCCCACGCAACGCAAGGCAGUAAGGCUGGCAGCCUGGCACGCAUUGACGCAUGUGGACACACACAGCCGCCGCCUGUUCGUGUUUCUGUGCCGUUGUGCGAGACUGUGACUGCGAGUGGCGGAGUCGGCGAACGGCGAGGCGUCUCCGGAGUCUGGACUGCGGCUGUGGACAGCGACGCUGUGACGGCGACUCGGCGAAGCCCCAAGCUACCAAGCCCCCAAGUCCCCAUCCAUCUCUGCUUCUCUGGUCAUCUCCUUCCCCUGGUCGAUCUGCAGGCGCCAGACCGGCCGAAGCAUCACGAAACGCACUAAGACCUCGAAGGAGUCAAACCACUCCUCCGAGGCCUCGGGGGCUACACCCGGCGGGUGCGCUCGCGCGCACCCACCGGAACAAAAUGUAACCGAGAAAGGUCGGUCCCCUUGCAAAAAAAGUGCGACAAAAGCCUCCAAGCGAGUAUUAACACUCACUUUGAGGCUCGGGGGCUACUGUCGGGGACCAUAAUUAGGGGUACCCCCAAGACUCCUAAUCUCAGCUGGUAACCCCCAUCAGCACAAAGCUGCAAAGGCCUGAUGGGUGCGAUUAAGUCAAGGCUCGGUCCACUCAAGGGACACGAUCUCGCCUCGCCCGAGCCCAGCCUCGGGCAAGGGCGGCCGACCCCGAGGAUUCACGUCUCGCCCGAGGGCCCCCUCAAGCGACGGGCACACCUUCGGCUCGCCCGAGGCCCAUUCUUCGCCGAGAAGCAACCUUGGCCAGAUCGCCACACCGACCGACCGUAUCGCAGGAGCAUUUAAUGCGAGGAUCGCCUGACACCUUAUCCUGACGCGCGCUCUUCAGUCGACAGAGCCGAAGUGACCGCAAUCACUUCGCCGCUCCACUGACCGACCUGACAAGAAGACAGCGCCGCCUGCGUCGCUCCGACUGCUGUGCCACUCGACAGAGUGAGGCUGACAGCAGCCAAGUCCGGCCUCGGGCGCCAUAGGAAGCUCCGCCUCGCCCGACCCUAGGGCUCGGACUCGGCCUCGGCUCCGGAAGACGACGAACUACGCCUCGCCCGACCCCAGGGCUUGGACUCAGCCUCGGCUCCGGAAGACGACGAAUUCCGCCUCGCCCGACCCCAGGGCUCGGACUCGGCCUCGGCUCCAGAAGACGACGAACUCCGCCUCGCCCGACCCCAGGGCUCGGACUCAGCCUCGGCUCCGGAAGACGACGAACUCCGCCUCGCCCGACCCCAGGGCUCGGACUCAGCCUCGGCCUCAGACGAUGGUCUCCGCCUCGCCCGACCCGGGGCUCGGACUCGACCUCGAUCUCAGAAGACAGACUCGACCUCAACCUUGGAGGAGCCUCUGCCUCGCCCGACCUAGGGCUCGGACUGACCACGUCACAGGGGGGCCAUCAUUACCCUACCCCUAGCUAGCUCAGGCUACGGAGAAUAAGACCGGCGUCCCAUCUGGCUCGCCCCGACAAACAAAUAAUGAUGGCGCCCUGCGUGCUCCAUGACGACGGCGGCUCUCAGCCCCUUACGGAAGCAAGGAGACGUCAGCAAAGACUCGACAGCCCCGACAGCUGUCCUUCCGCAAGGCUCCAGCGCUCCUCCGACGGCCACGACAUCACAUGAACAGGGUGCCAAAAACCUCUCCGGCUGCCACGACGGCAUGUACUUAGGGCACUAGCUCCUCUCUGCUAGAGACGUUAGCACACUGCUACAUCUCCUAUUGUAUACCUGGACCCCCUCCUUACGCCUAUAAAAGGAAGGUCCAGGGCUCUCUUACGGGAAGGUUGGCCGCGCGGGGGAACCGGACGGCGCGCAUAAGCCUCUCGCUCUCUCCCACGCGGACGCUUGUAACCCCCUACUACAAGCGCACCCGACCUGGGCGCAGGGCAACACGAAGGCCGCGGGUUUCCCCUUUCGCCUGCCUCCCUUUCUUCCCCCCUUCGUGCUCCGUCUCACGCCGACCCAUCUGGGCUGGGACACGCGGCGACGAUUUACUCGUCGGUCCAGGGACCCCCCGGGGUCGAAACGCCGACAGUUGGCGUGCCAGGUAGGGGCCUGCUGCGUGUUGACGAACAACUUCCCGUCAAGCUCCAGAUGGGUAGUCUCCAGCAACCUUUCCAGCCCGGGACGGUGCUCCGUUUCGGGAGUCUCGAGUUCAUAUCCCUCGACGGCAGCUACGACAUGAUACUCCUUCCUCCGCCGCGCGACAGCGACAAUGGCGGCCGACAACCCGCCCGCCGGCGGCGGAAUCAACGACGUCUUCCCCACAUGGCGGAAGAACAACAUCCGGAUUUGUCCCGUCGCCUCCCCCGCCGACGGAGGAGGAGGCGGGGCAACCAAGGCCAAGCAGGAGGCGGCACCUCGUCAGCUGUCGAGCGAGUCGACGGCGCCGGCACCCCAACGGGGGACACGUCGGGCGUCGACCUCGCGUCUGAGACAAAGACGAGCGCCGUUUCCCCGCAACACGCCAACUCCAAGCGGACGGACGACGCCAACACGCUCGCAAAGGACUUACUGGGCGUCACCCUCGUACCCGAGACGACGGUGCAGUCUGCCCCUGACGCGACUUCGUCACCGCCCGUCGACCAGGAGGUACCGACCGAUUCCCAUCUCGUGCCUUUUGGAUUCAGCCUCGACCCACCAAGCGACUUCGCUUCGGUGGAAGCCUUCAUAGAGGCAUGUCCAAACCCUCCGGGGUAUCAUAUGCGGUCACCCUGGGACCGACUGAUGGCCGUCUCGACCUACGGACCCUUGGGUUUCGAGGAAGAUGACGAGCCUGACCUUUGUUGGGAUUUCUCCGGACUCGGUAACCCCAGUGCCAUGCGGGACUUCAUGACCGCAUGCGGCUAUUGCCUUUCCGGUUGUUCCGACGGUAGCCGCAGCUUCGGCGACGAGGACUGCGGCCCAAGUCGUGAAUGUUUCCACGUCGAUCUAGGGGGUCCCGGCGAAGGCAACCAUCUUGGUAUACCAGAAAACGGUGAUCCCCCCAGGCCCGCGCCUCGCGUUGACAUCCUUCGGGAGCUAGCUGUGGCCCCAGUCCCUGCAGGGGGUCAGGACUCACAGCUCGAGCAAAUCCGCGAGGGGUAGGCUAGGCUCGACGAGGGAGUAGGAACACUUGAGCAGUUCCGGCGGAACACCGGGCAGGAAUGGGCAGACCGAGCUCCGCCCGGAGAAGCGCGUCAUCUGCCCCAGGGCAUCCAGCUUCGCAUUGCCGACGACGUCAGGGCAAGGCCGCCACCGACUUCUAGUGGGGUCGGCUAGAACCUGGCUGCGGCAGCAAUACUACUCCGCACGAUGCCGGAACCAUCGACCACCGAAGGGCGGUGUAUCCAGGGAGAGCUCAAGAAUCUCCUAGAGGAUGCCGCGGUCCGACGGGCCGAAAGCUCUGCCUCCCGAAGACAGGGAUACCCCUCGGAGCAUCGCGCCGCGACUUCCCGAUUCAUGCGGGAAGCCUCGGUCCACACCGGGCGCACGCGAAACACAGCGCCUGCGGCCCCGGGUCGCCUCGGCAAUGAGCACCACCACCGCAACCGUCGAACCCACCUCGACGAUAGGGUGCACCGAGGCUACCACCCCAGGCGUGGGGACGCUAUGACAGCGGGGAGGAUCGGAGUCCCUCGCCCGAACCACCCGGUCCGUAGGCUUUCAGCCGGGCCAUACGAUGGGCGCCGUUCCCGACCCGGUUCCGAACCCCGACUACUAUCACAAAGUACUCGGGGGAGACGAGGCCGAAACUGUGGCUCGCGGACUACCGGCUGGCCUGCCAAUUGGGUGGCACGGACGAUGACAACCUCAUCAUCCGCAACCUCCCCCUGUUCCUCUCCGACACCGCUCGAGCCUGGCUGGAGCACCUGCCUCUGGGGCAGAUAUCCAACUGGGACGACCUGGUUCAAGCCUUCGCCGGCAACUUCCAGGGCACGUACGUGCGCCCUGGGAACUCCUGGGAUCUCCGCAGCUACCGCCAGCAGCCGGGAGAGUCUCUCCGGGACUACAUCCGACGAUUCUCGAAGCAGCGCACCGAGCUGCCCAAUGUUACCGACUCAGAUGUCAUCGGCGCGUUCCUCGCCAGCACCACCUACUGCGACCUGGUGAGAAAGCUGGGUCGUAAGACCCCCACCAGGGCGAGCGAGCUGAUGGACAUUGCCACCAAGUUCGCCUCUGGCCAGGAGGCGGUUGAGGCCAUCUUCCGGAAGGACAAGCAGCCCUAGGGCCGCCCGCCGGAAGAUGUCCCCAAGGCAUCCACUCAGCGCGGCACCAAGAAGAAAGGCAAGAAGUCGCAAGCGAAACGCGACGCCGCCGACGCGGACCUUGUCGCCGCCGCUGAGUACAAGAACCCUCGGAAACCUCCCGGAGGUGCCAAUCUCUUCGACAAAAUGCUCAAGGAGCCGUGCCCCUAUCAUCAGGGGCCCGUCAAGCACACCCUCGAGGAGUGCGUCAUGCUUCGGCGCCACUUUCACAAGGCCGAGCCACCUGUGGAAGGUAGCAGGGCCCACAACAACGACAAGAAGGAGGAUCACAAGGCAGAGGAGUUCCACGAGGUCCACGACUGCUUUAUGAUCUACGGUGGGCCAGUGGCGAACGGCUCGGCUCGGCACCGCAAGCAAGAGCGUCGGAGAGGUCUGCUCGGUAAAGGUGGCGGCCCC